UAGGGUGCAAGCGUUAAUCGGAAUUACUGGGCGUAAAGCGUGCGUAGGCGGUUAUUUAAGUCAGGUGUGAAAGCCCCGGGCUCAACCUGGGAAUUGCAUUUGAGACUGAAUAGCUAGGGUGCGGAAGAGGGAAGCGGAAUUUCCGGUGUAGCGGUGAAAUGCGUAGAUAUCGGAAGGAACACCAGUGGCGAAAGCGGCUUCCUGGUCCAGCACCGACGUUCAGGCACGAAAGCGUGGGGAGCAAACAGG
rnacentral:rRNA from 1 species